UACGUGGGGGGCAAGCGUUGUCCGGAAUCAUUGGGCGUAAAGCGCGUGUAGGCGGCUCGGUAAGUCCGCUCUGAAAGUCCAGGGCUCAACCCUGGGAUGCGGGUGGAUACUGCCGGGCUCGAGUCCGGAAGAGGCGAGUGGAAUUCCCGGUGUAGCGGUGAAAUGCGCAGAUAUCGGGAGGAACACCAAUGGCGAAGGCAGCUCGCUGGGACGUGACUGACGCUGAGACGCGAAAGCGUGGGGAGCAAACAGG
rnacentral:rRNA from 1 species